rnacentral:lncRNA from 1 species
UCCUCUUAUUUCCUCAGCUCCACUCAGCCCAGCUUUACAUGGAGAACCCUCUUCAUGAUUUUCCUACUUAACACUGAGCAAAACAGCUUAGGAGAACCAAGACAAGGGAAUCACAUGAUGUAAAAUAGAGAGAUCUGCGUGCCUGGCUCUCUCUGGACUUGAACUCAUCCAGUUCUCCAUCUCUGCUCUGUUAUGGGCUUCUGGUUACACUGGGUAACUCUGGGAACUCGGACAUUUCUCCACCAUCACUGCCUCUUAUUAAAUUGUCCCUUGAAAUGUCUGUCACUGGUAGCCUGGAAGCAGGAAGGGCAUUCAACUCACCUGGCCAUGAACAAGCACAAGCCAGCACUCGGCAGGCACUCAGAAAUGUUUAUUGCAUUAGCAGACAAGUUCCUCACAUCCUCAUUCCAGGACCCGGCUCCGGACAUGACUCUACCAGUAGUCAGCAUGGAAGGCUGCAUAUGAUCUGACCAACCACAUGGAGCCAAGAGUCUUCUCAUUCCAGACUUCACUCCCAACAUCCCUGUCCCAGACUCCCAUAAUUCUUGUGUGACUCUGGAAGAGGUGGCUUAGCCUGCCUGGGUCUACAUUUUCCUCAUCUUAGGCAGCUCAGGGGCUUAAAAAGGUUUUAGUUCUGUAAUUUCACCCUUCCCUUGCAUGGAUGGGCUUACCCUGGUCUGCCUGGAUCCACAGGACCCCCAAACCCUGACAAGACUCUAGGCAGUCAGACACCAGGAUCAGUCCCUUCGGGCGAUCAGAAGCGAUGAUAUGGAGCAGCCACUUCAAAUACAGCACCGUCUCUUCCACGCUCGACUUCCUUGUGCGUGGAGGUAAUGCUUGUCUGGCCAGCAGAAGCACAAUGCAAUGAGGUGGCUCUGAGUCCCGCUGUGGAAGUCCAGUUAUGGAUGGUCCUGUUUACCUCUCUGCAGCUCCACACCAACAGAGACCUUAUUAUUGCCUCUGGGAUAUAAUAGGCCUGAGGAAAGACCAGGAAGGAGAUGAGAUUUGCCUACAUACAUAGCAAGUGAGAGACAGGAGGUCGAAGAAAAUUCUUGCAUUGAGAUUCCCAAGUCCACAAUACCACUGUUGCAUCAUUACUAGAGAAUAAAAAGAGAAUAAAGUUAAAAAUAAUAAAAUGG